CUUGUGAAUAGAAGAAUGGAUAGAGAGGUUUGGAUUGAAAGAACUUCGGACUAUAAUUCUUAGACUCAGUCCAAACAAAAAGGAGUCCUGCAUGAGGCAGGACUAGCUCAGUUCUAGAAUUCCCACUGUGUAAUUCAUUGUCAGGGAAAUAGUGAGGGUGGAAGGGUCUCAGAAUCAGCAUCUUUGGAUUCCAAAGUGUGACAGCUAGGGGCUCCCACUCAGUCUGGUCUCCCUCCAGCACAGGCUCUUAAGGAGUGACCUUCAUGAAGAGGGAUGCUACCGCAAACCUUACCGUACAGGUUUUUACAACAUCCUCCUGUAAAAGUAACCAAGCUUCAGAUAGUCUUCAAUAUAAAUAGAAGAACUGCAUCCUUUUUCCAUCUUUUCCCCUAAGAAGGAGUAUUAGAGCAAAUGUCUAAGAUACCUGAGGAUUCAGUGGUUGAGAGUACCAAGUUGCCUUGCUUCUGAGGACACUGUUGGGUAUUGUACCAGGUACCAGAUAGAAUGGUCAAAACAAUUAACAGUCCUCCAAGUACAUUAUCAGGAAACUAAUAAAACUUAAACAUGCCUCUGG